CCUACGGGUGGCAGCAGUGAGGAAUAUUGGUCAAUGGACGCAAGCCUGAAGCAGCCAAGCAGCGUGAGGGAAGACUGCCCUAUGGGUUGUAAACUUCUUUUAUAGGGGAGUAAAGUGCAGUAUGUAUACUUCUUUGCAUGUACCUUAUGAAUAAGGACCGGCUAACUCCAUGCCAGCAGCCGCGGUACUACGGAGGGUGCGAGCGUUGUCCGGAUUUAUUGGGUUUAAAGGGAGCGUAGGCGGGUGUGUAAGUUAGUUGUGAAAGUUGGCGGCUCAACCGUAACAUUGCAGUUGAUACUGGGGUCCUUGAGUGCAGUAGAGGUAGGCGGAAUUCGUGGUGUAGCGGUGAAAUGCUUAGAUAUCACGAAGAACUCCGAUGGCGAAGGCAGCCUGCUGGACUGUAACUGACGCUGAUGCUCGAAAGUGUGGGUAUCAAACAGGAUUAGAUACCCUUGUAGUC
rnacentral:rRNA from 1 species